CUGGAUAAGAUGAUAGCGGCGCAGAAUAUAUUUGGUGCGCUGAUGGGAUCUCGACUCCUUAGCUUGAGUAAUGGCUUCAGUAUUAUCGUAGUAUAAUGAGACAGAGCCAUCAAUGGAGUGUGCCACUCCGAGCUUAUCGAUGAAUUCCGCAAUCAUACAGCUUCUUUGCAGUAUUAGAUGCUGCGAUAUACUCAGCUUCGUAAAUAGAGUCUGGCAUAGUAUUCUGCUUGAAACUUUUCCAACAGAUUGCUCUACCAUUUAGAAUAAAAAUAUAAUC
rnacentral:lncRNA from 1 species